rnacentral:rRNA from 1 species
UACGUAGGGUGCGAGCGUUAAUCGGAAUUACUGGGCGUAAAGCGUGCGCAGGCGGUUCGUUAAGUUCGAUGUGAAAGCCCCGGGCUCAACCUGGGAAUUGCAUUGGAAACUGGCGGGCUUGAGUGUGGCAGAGGGGGGUGGAAUUCCACGUGUAGCAGUGAAAUGCGUAGAGAUGCGGAGGAACACCGAUGGCGAAGGCGGAUCUCUGGGCCUUACCUGACGCUGAGGCGCGAAAGCUAGGGGAGCGAACAGG